rnacentral:rRNA from 1 species
GACGAACGCUGGCGGCGUGCUUAACACAUGCAAGUCGCACGAAGUGGCGAACGGGUGAGUAAUAAGUAGGUGACCUGCCCUCCUUUUUGGGGUUAGCCUUGGAAACGGGGUCUAAUACCGAAUAAAGGGGGAGGGGCUCGCGGCUUCUCAGCUUGUUGGUGUGGUGAUGGCCUACCACGGCGGUGACGGGUGGCCGGCCUGAGAGGGUGAACGGCUACAUUGGGACUGAGAUACGGCACAGAAUCAUACGGGAGGCAGCAUGGGGGGAUAUUGCACAAUGGGGGAAAGCCUGAUGCAGCGACGCUGCGUGGGGGAUUAAGGCUUUCGGGUUAUAAAACUCUUUCGCUAGCGAACGGGUAGGUGGAGAAGAAGCGCCGGCUAACUACGUGCCAGCAGCCGCGGUAAUUC